UAUAAAACUUAUUUAUAUUUGAAACCAAAUUGUUUAUCUUGUGUGUAAUUUAUCAAAACUUAACAGACAUUGACCCCUGGGGUGUAGACAGACUGAAAUCUCUUGUAUUGGCCUAUUUGACACAAACCUCAGACACUGGACACAUGACACACAAAUACAUAGAACCACUGAAUGCCCUGCCAAGUUAUCAAUGUUUUAUUUUGCUCAAAAAAUUAUUUACAAGGGUAUUGAUUUCAUUUUUUUAUGCAUGUUGGUUGUUUAUGAAUGAGUUUGUAAAUAUGUUUCUGAAAUCAAUGAUUGAAAUUGUACAUAGGUACUGUAAUGACCCUAUUAACAGAGGUUAUACUCUGUGCUGACUUGUUUUAAUCCUCACAUUCCAUGUUUUGGGCAUAAAGUCUGGGCAAGCAUUCCAGGGUAUUGACCCCCUGCCGCUAGCGGUGAGACUAGACUAGCAUUUUAUUAGACAGAGCAGCCCAAUGACAGACUCAUAUUUACAACCAUCAGUUCUUGAUUUGAUAAUUUAUCAUUUUGUCUUAAUUGAAAGCUAAGCUUUUUUGAUUUUUUUUAAAGAAUAAUGAUGUGAAUAAAAUAAAAUUCAUAAAUUUUAUUUGUGUAUGAGCAUGUAAACUAGACAUACAAACUAUUCAUGAAUGGCAUACAUGUAGAAGGGAAAUAACUCUCUCCUGUUUCUGACUGCAUUAUUGUGUUGGGAGUAGCAUAGCUGUUGAGUCUGACCUCGGCAUGUACUGUGGUAAAUGAGGCGGCUACUCACAUGACCCAAUGUUUUACAUGGUGCACAUGGCUAAAUGUUUUACAAGAUAUCAUGUGAAGCACAUGGAAUGGUAAAUGUUAACUUUAAUAAACAAAUGCAU
rnacentral:sRNA from 1 species